UAGAUCAUCUUGAUCCUACACUUGUUGAUCAUCUAAACCCCUAUUUGAGUACCUGUCCCAUCAGACACCCUCUUUGGCUUUCUGUGAGUUGUGGUAGCCAAGGCAACACUGUUCAGAUGUCUUCUCCACAUAAAUGUGGCCAAAAAAGUAGUUGUAGUGCAUUCAAUGCGGUGGUAGCAGUUUUUCCUUAGAUAUUUUAGAUUCUCCUCCUUCUCGUAUGUUCAUGAUGCACGUCUCUAUCACUAGAGCUUCAUGGAAGGUCACUCUAAUCAUUGGAAGACAUAUUUGAGCUGCACUUAUCGUAUAUGAGGAGAUAUUCCUUCUUGGAUAAUCUUCCUAUUUGCAUCUUGCUCAUUAAAUCCUGAGCUUGAACCAUUAUUUACCAUUCGUUCCUUCUCAGACCAUCCACACUCUCGGACAAGGCCUAAGGCCCAAUAUAUAAUUUAGGCCCUUAAUCCUACAACCAUUUUUACAAAACACUCACAUUAGAAUAUCUAUUAUACACUCUAAUUUAUUUAAAUAAUAUUUUUUAUUAUUAUUUUAUUUAUACCUAUCUCUUUCAUUAAUAUAUAUUUAUUUCCCAUCCCAACUGUCUCUCAUCAAUUCUUCUCUACCUCUAUUUUUCCCUAAACUCUCUUCCUCACUCAUAUCUCAAACCCAGAAUUUAUACAUGCAGAAGAUCUAACAGCGGCAGCAAGGCAAAUCCAACGACAAUAGCAAGACAAAACGGCAGUAGCUUUGGUGGCAGCGACGGUGACAAAUCCAACUGAUUUUUUUUGGGUUUUUCAUGUGAGAUUUUUGUUGGAUUUUUCAUAUGGGUUUUCCGUUAGGUUGGAUUCAUUUUUAUUGAUUUUGGUUUGGGUUUGGGAUGAGUUUUUCUUCAGGUUUGGGUUGAUUAUAAGUUGGGUUUUCCAAUGGGUAUAGCUUGAUUUUUUGUUUUGCUUGAUUUGAGUUGGGUUUUCUAAUGGUUUGGGUUUAGGAUGAGUUUUUCUUUAGGUUUUUGUUGAUUAUGAGUUGGGUUUUCCGGUGGGUUUAGCUUGAUUUUUGUUUGGCUUGGUUUGAAAUGGGUUGCGGUGGUGAUGGUUGGGUGGUGCUGAGUUGGUGGUUGGAUGUUUGUCAUCUUCUUCUUUGCUGGGUUGUUGUGGCCGUUGGGAAAGAGAGGGUUGUUGGGUUGCUGUGGCCGCUGGGAAAGAGAGGGAGAACCUAAAAGGUGAGAGGAAAAAAAAAGAAUAAAUUAUUGAUGUGGCAAGUGUGUAUAUAUAUACACAUUUUUACACCCACUGAUGUGGGUAGUUUUGGAGAAAAAUUAUGUAAAUUUUGCACAAUUUUGACACUUUUGCUAUUCUAGAGGCACUAGUGCAGAUGCUCUAAAUAACUAUUAUGUUAUUAAUAUUUUUAUUAAAAAGUAGAAGGAUAGGAUAGUAGGGACAAUUACUUUCCUUCUCAUUAUCAUAUUUUUUCAUCUUUUCUCCACAAUUUGGAUCUUAAAAAAAAAAACAAAACAAAACAAAUUGUAGGACUGGAUGAAAAACUCUAUCCAACCAUUUUCUUUUCUCUCCUUAUUCCCUCCAACCAAACAAUGAAAAUUGCAUUUUACAUACCAUUCACGGUUACUGUAGCUGUGUAUAUCAAUAAUUUAUUCUUUUUUUCUCUCACCUUUUAGGUUCUCCCUCUCUUUCCCAACGGCCACAACAACCCUCUCUUUCCCAAUGGCCACAUCAACCCAACAAAGAAGAAGAAGAUGACAAACAUCCAAUCACCAACUUAGCACCACCCAAACAUCACCACCACAACCCAUUUCAAUGCAAACCAAGCCAAACAAAAAUCAAGCUAAACCCAUUGGAAAACCUAACUCAUAAUCAACCCAAACCCAAAGAAAAACUCAUCCCAAACUGAAACCAAAAUCAACAAAAAUUGAAUCCAACCCAACGAAAAACCCAUAUGAAAAAUCCAACAAAAAUCCCACAUGAAAAACCCAACGAAAAUCAGUUAGAUCUGCCGUCAUUGCUUAUGGGUUUUGAUUCUUAUGGUUCUUGUGGUGGAGAUUGGUGCUUGUGGUGGAUAAGUGAUUUGACCAUGAGAGGAAAAAGAAGAAGAUGCUUGUGGAUGGAGGUGAUCUGACCGUGACCUUGAAAGGAAGAAGGAGAAGAUAUCGUGAAAGGAAGAAAAAGAAGUAGAAGAGGGACAAAAGAUUGGUCUGAAAAAUGAGAUAAGGACAAAGAAAAAAAGGUUAAGUACAAAAGAAAAGAUAAAAGAUAGGGACAAAAUAAUAAUAAUAAAAUUUUAAAUAUUAUUAUUUAAAUAGAGAGGAUUGUAAAAUAGAUAAACUGACGUGGUUGCUUUGGAAAAAUGGCAGUGUAAAAUGAUAAAAGUAGGUUCUUAAUGUAAAAUAGACGGAAAAAUUUGGCUGAACUGAUGCAAUUACUAUAGUAAGAGGAAUAGUCUUAGCUUUUUUCUAACUUAAAAUUGAACGUAGGUGUAUAUGCAUGUGCACAGGUCUACUACCUAAUAAAAUAUUGGGAAUACUAAUUUUAGAUUUCUAUUCUUCUCAAAAAAAAAAAAAAAAUUUGAAGAAGAAGAAGAAGAAAGAUUUCUAUUGCUGUAAAAGAUAGCAGCUAGGGGGAAAAGGCUAUAUGAUGUCGAAGAGGAAAUUAUAGAAUUACCUCAUCUCUUAAUAUGUGAAACAUUAAAACAACAAAGGAUUAUGCUUGAAACUUUGCUUUUUAAAUCAAAUGAACAUAAGAAGUGUUGUCAUUUUAAUGUUAUAUGAUUAAAAUGGAUUAAAAAGAAACUUAAAUAUAAAGAUGUAAGAGUUAAUAUGAAAAAUAAGGAAUUGAUCAAGAUGUUUAAUCUUACAUUGAAAAUGAAAGAGACUCUUUUAUUAUUUUUAAGUGUGGUGAUUAAUGUAUUAAAGCAGAUAAUGGGUGAAAUAUGUGCUCAGAGGGGAGGUGAAGGGAGGAGGUGUCAAUCAAAUCAGUCUCUUGAAUCCUUCUACCAAAUAGUAGAUUAAUCUGGAUCAUCAAUUUUGUGAGGCCCAUUGAGCAGCUUGAAUCUUUUAAAGAUAGCAAGUGUCGCACCUCAUAACAAAUAGUAUUGUGUAUCUCUUUAAAAUAAAUCAUUUAUGUAUUUUUAUUCAAUUUAUCUUGUGCUAUUUCCAUUAUUAUUGUGUAACUAUUGGAGAUCUCACCCUUUCACUUCUACGAUGCCCACUUCAAGAGAUGGAAAUAAAAGUUCAUCUUCUAUUUAAGUCUUCUCAAGGCCGCCUACAUCCUCACUAACAAGAAUCCUUUCAAGACUUCCACCGAUGAGAUGAAUGACGAAGAUUUCUGUCCCUAUCAAGAAAAAAUAGAUAAGUAUACAUAAGAUGGACAACAUCAAGUCAAUGGUUGUGAAAUCCUGCAAAAGGAAUAAGUAGACUUGGGAUACACUAGUGUGGUGUGUGCCAAAGAGCCUCCAAUGAGCUAGUCAGUAAGAUCAAACCUCAGUUGUACAGAGAAAUUGCUAUUUGGCUAGAAAGUUGUUGUGCGUAUGUUACGUACUUUUACCCUAAUUGUUUAUACCUUUUUAUAGGUCUCCCCUUAGGAUGGGAGUAAA